UUUAAUUAAAAUAAAUACUUUUUAACAUUAUGAAAGUUGUUAGUCACAUUUGUAAAGUAUUAAUUUUAAUUUAUUUAAAAAAAUCUUACUGACCCUAAAGUUUUGAAGGGUUUUGUACAUGUACUGUAACAGAAACUCGUUCCUUUAUCUUAUAUUUAUUUCUCUUCACAGUCCUUUUUUGUACAUUUGUACAACAGUCUGGUCAAAAGUUCAAAGCGAUUAUCUGAACACAGAACAUCUGACUGAAGUGAAUCAUAGAGGGAGCUUAAUACAACUACAACUGUGGUAAAACUCAACAAUUAGGCCCCAGCAUAAAUGGUUAGUUAAUCAAAUAAACCACUUUGGCUUGUGAAACAAGGCAGUGUUUUGGCAGGCACAGUGAUUUCACUCUUACCUGGACUUUUUACCUCCACAAUAGCAAACAUUCAUUCACAAGCUCUCUCUCGCACACACAUUCAUCACAUUCACACUUUCACAGGCAGAAGCACAAACACAUUACAGUUGCAUUCACACAACAACACACACAGCUCCGCUUCCUCCAAAAGCAGGCCUCAUUUACCCGCAGUUUUAAAACGCUGCAUAAAGAGAAGACAAUUAUUCCUGCAUCAUAUUUUUCCGCUCUUGAAAAUGUUAUUUUAAUUGUGCCGGUGGAGUGGACUGCUCUGUUGUUUUCACAUGAGUGUAAAAAAUAAUGACGGCUGUCCAGUGAAUGGGCCCUUGGCAUGAGUUUAGGCCACUAUGGGCAUGCAGCAGACUCUCUCACACACACACCUAAACAUACACAGUGUCUAAACAGCUUCAGAAACGACCAAGAAAAUGUUCUGAAUUUUAUUUUCUUAAUUCCCUGAUCACUUAUCUUUUCAUUUUCCAAUCCUUACUUUUUCAUAUUAGUCCUUAUUUUAGGUCUGUGAUGAUAAACCGUAUUUUAAGCCUUUAAAAAUGUUGAAACCUAACUGCUAUGGUACCCGCGAUGUUUAAUUUAAUAAAACAAAAAACAAUAAAAACAUGUUCAAGAC
ensembl:lncRNA